rnacentral:rRNA from 1 species
CGCCAGCCCGCUCAGAAACUUAAGGAAUUGACGGGGGCCCGCACAAGCGGUGGAGCAUGUGGCUUAAUUCGAUGAUACGCGAGGAACCUUACCUGGGCUCAAAUGUAUGUUGACGUAUUCUGAAAGGGAUACUUCUUCGGACAAUAUACAAGGUGCUGCAUGGUUGUCGUCAGCUCGUGCCGUGAGGUGUCGGGUUAAGUCCCAUAACGAGCGCAACCCCUAUCAUUAGUUGCCAUCAGGUCAAGCUGGGGACUCUAAUGAAACUGCCUACGCAAGUAGUGAGGAAGGUGGGGAUGACGUCAAAUCAGCACGGCCCUUACGUCCAGGGCUACACACGUGCUACAAUGGCCGGUACAAAGGGCAGCUACCUGGUGACAGGAUGCUAAUCUCAAAGGCCGGUCUCAGUUCGGAUCGGAGUCUGCAACCCGACUCCGUGAAGCUGGAAUCGCUAGUAAUCGCGCAUCAGCCAUGGCGCGGUGAAUACGUUCCCGGGCCUU